UUUUUUUGUAUUGAAGGUUACAGUGACUUGUUACAUAGUUCAAUCAUGAGUGGCUUUUAAGUUCUCAACUUUUUUUUUCCUUCAAGAGAGUGCUAUUGAUUUCUAACAUCAUUGAGUGGCUGUUACCCAGGGAUGCUUUGUUCGAAUACUCAAAACAUGUGAUGAGUCUAGGUGGUUUACUCUUUGAGCUUCUCUCAGAAGCAUUAGGUUUGGAACCUGAUAUCCUGAAGAGCAAGGGGUGCUUGAAGAGUUUGCUUAUGAUCUGCCAUUAUUACCCACCUUGUCCACAACCUGACCUAACUUUGGGGACAAGUAAACACUCCGACAACUCCUUCAUCACGGUUCUUCUUCAAGACAACAUCGGUGGCCUACAAAUUCUUCAUCAAGAUUCUUGGGUUGAUGUGGCUCCUCUUCCUGGAGCUCUCAUCAUCAACAUUGGAGAUUUCUUGCAGGUAAAGUAAUAAUUGAAAAAAUAAAUAAAUAAAUACCAAAAUAUAUUUAGUUUCUUUUUUUUUUUUUUUUUAAAAGGAAUUUAGUUUCUUUUUUUUUUUAGUUUAUUUAUGUGUGUCUUUUUUUUUGGGUGUAAAUGUUAAGAUUAUUUAUGCGUUUCGGUUUUUUUUUCUUUGCAGCUGAUGACGAACGAUAAGUUUGUAAGUGUGGAGCAUAGGGUGCUUGCGAAUAGACAAGGUCCAAGGAUAUCAGUUGCAAGCUUUUUUAGCUCAAGUAAACGUGCCAAUUCCACAGUUUAUGGACCAAUGAAAGAGCUUGUGUCUGAAGAAAACCCUCCAAAAUACAGAGAUAUAACCAUAAAAGAAUACACAGAUGGAUACAAUGAGAAAGGUCUGGAUGGAACAUCACAUCUCUUGAAUUUCAGGAUAUGAAAACAAAACUACAGAAAAAGAAUUUUAAGGUGUUUCUUAGCAUGAAUUACUCUUUUCUUGGAUCUUCAAUAAUUAAACCAGUAGUGUACCAAAUUGCGUGUGUGCGUAUAUACGUACCAGACACUAUAUGUGGAUCUUUAUACGUUUGUCAUAUGUAUCAGUCUGUAUCUUUCUACUUUAGUCAUAUGUAUCAGAUUAUACAGAAGUGAAAUGCACUGCAUGUACUGAUCAUAAGAACUUCCACAUUUUACAUUACAUAAAAAAUGUCUAAUGUUCAUUCAAGUUCAUUUUUUAUUUUUUUGCUCUUUUUUUCUUGAUGGGGUAAAUCAAAGAAAUUAAAAAUAAUGCUUGCUGAUUGGAGUUCCUCAGAGAUUUUUGUAUUUUUUUUUGGUAAAAGAUAUUUUUGUAUUUUACAACAUAUAUAUUGUUUUAUCGUAAAUUCGUCAAAAAGAUUCAUGACGGAUGGUAGUUGUCGGACAUAUAUUUAAUUUCUUAUUUAUCUUUAUAUGACAUACUUUUAUGUUUCACAAAAACUAUCAUUCAUUUUUUUUAGUUUUAAAAAGAAUGUCAUUUUGUAUUUACAAUAUCACUUAUAUAUUUAAUCUCUUAUUCACCCUUUAAAAUAACCAAAAUAUUUGUAUAUAAAUUAUUUUUUCAUUUAAUUAAUUGUAUAUUAAAUAAUAGUAAAUAUUUUAUAAAUUUUGUACGUGUGUGAAAGAUACCAAAACGAUAUUUUUUGCGAAAUGAAAAUAGUAUAAAUUAUUGAUUAUAAAUCAAGUACGUAAUUUUUACAAUUUGUAAUAAAUCAUUAUUAAAAAAGUUUAACAUUAAUUACUAUUUUAUAUUAGUAAAUGCAUUUUUGUUAGAUGUAAAAAGGAAAAGUAUCUCCUAAAUUUCAGCACUUGAGUUUCAGUAAUUAAAGGUGAAUCUAGGGCUAUUUGCAUUAUUAGGUGAUUAGACCUUAGCAUAAAACAAAAGUGGAGAAGAAAAAUUCAAUUACAACUUGUAGUCUGACAAAGCCAGUAAUGUGUCGAGAGCAAGACAAGAUACCUAGACACAUUCGGUCCACACACAAUGAUCAAACUCAUCCGUUGAUUCCGUUCUCAAUCUUUCCUCUUUUAAUCUCAUUAUCUCCAAGCAAACAUCUUGUGGGAAAAAAACAAGAUGAUAACGAACGAUCGGUUUGUAAGUGUGGAUAGGGACGAAGCCAGAAAUUUUUUUAUAAUAGGUACACAAAUAUUAAAUAAAAUAUUAAACAAAACAUUAAAUAAACUAUUUUAGAUAUAUAUUAAAAAUAUUUUGUUUUCAAUAAAAAUGAAUAAUCAUUUAAAAAUAAUAUUUCAUUCAAUUUCGUAAAGUUGUUUCUACUAUUUCUACUGCAGAAAAAUAUUUUUCAAUACUUAUCGUUGCAACUUGUAAAGUCAAAAUCAACUUGAAAAAUCUAUAAACUAAAAAUAAAAAUUAUUAAGUAAUAAACUAUUUUUUUCAUCGUCGAGAUAAAUCUAAUUAAAACUGAAAACGUAACAUAAUUCAAAUAUGAAAUCUACCAAAAAUAUGACUAAUGAAACGUAAAUAAAUUACAAACAUGUAAAACCUCCAAACAUCAACUGUAGUCAAAGAGUAAAGCCACUUCUAUGACUUUUGAACUUUUACUACUGAAUAAAAAACUUAGAUGAUAUCUAAAUUAAUAAUUACAAAUCGUAGACAUUGUUAGAACAACUCAAAACAUUAACAUAAAGAUUAUUAAAUUAGUUACCAGUUUUGUAUGGUAGACAAUACAAUAAAACUUUGUUAAUUUGAUUUGAUGGUUUGCACUUGCAUGUUUAAGAAGAAAAGUUUAAGCGAUUAAAUUUUUUGAGCGAAUUGUUAGGAUUUUAACAAAAAAAAAUAGAGAAUACAAUUGGGCUUUAAAGACAAUUUUAAUUUUUGAUGGGGUAAAUUAUUUUUAAUUUUUUCAUUUGGGCUUAAUGUAAAUUUUAGUGGGUGCAAUAUCAUGAAUUAUAGUGAGUGCACAUUUAAAAUUCCUUAACAAUUACAUUAAUUUUUAAAAAAAUCAUGGGUGCAUGUGCACCCCUUCCCUCCUGAGUGUGGAGCAUAGGGUGCUUGCGAAUAGACAAGGACCAAGGAUUUCAGUUGCAAGCUUUUUUAGCUCAAGUAAACAUGCCAAUUCCACAGUUUAUGGACCAAUGAAAGAGCUUGUGUCCGAAGAAAACCCUCCAAAAUACAGAGACAUAACCAUAAAAGAAUACACAGAUGGAUAUUUUGAGAAAGGUCUGGAUGGAACAUCGCAUCUCUUGAAUUUCAGGAUAUGAAAACAAAACUACAGAAAAGUGUUUCUUAGCACCAGUUACUCUUUUCUUGGAUCUGCAAUAUAUAUCAGACUAUAUGUGGAUCUCUCUACUGAAGUCAUAUGUAUCAAGAGGUUUGUAUUUGGGACUGAUAAUUUACUAAUGCAUUUAUAUCAAGAGAUUUAUAUUUCAAAUUUCUAAAAUGAUUUAGUAACAAUUAUACAAAAUAAUAAAAAAUAGAAAAAAUGCUUAUAUAGAAUAUUCGUUAAUACAAGUAAAACCGUCAGACAUAAGGUAACUUAGUACAAAUAAAACUGUCAAAUAUGUAUCUCAUAAAGAAUAUAAAAGUAACAAGGAACUUAAUACCUCGCAAUCUGCGGUGUGAUAAUUAUUGCCCAAGAUGUGGAGAGCCAGAGGAAAAUGUAACCCACACAAUCUUUGAAUGUCCACCAGCAUUACAAGCAUGGGAACUAUCAUCUACGCCGUCAAACCCCCAAACUUUCCCCAUAUCGAGUAUGUACGCCAAUAUAGACUACCUUUUCUGGAGGAAAAAUACAAUUAGAAGGCCAGAAGAUGAUAGAGACCCUUACCCCUGGAUAAUGUGGUACAUAUGAAAGACGAGGAAUGAUAAGCUAUUCAGGGGGAUUGACAGGGACCCUUUAGAACUGGUCAGGUACGCAGAGAGUGAAUGUCAGGCUUGGUAUAAUGCUAAGGAGUCUAUACCUAUACCCCCACAGGCACCAAACACUGAAGUGGUACAAGCCUUAAGCUUGAAUAAUAUGUGUAUGGUGGAUGGCUCUUGGACAUCCACAGAUCUUUUCAGUGGAAUUGGAUGGGUAUGGAAGGAUAACACGGAAAAGAUCCAACUUAUGGAAACACGGAACUUAAGGAGGCGGAAGACAGCACUACACUCGGAAUUGGAAGCAUUGAAAUGGGCACUGGAAAGCAUGCUUCAACAUUCAAACUGCCAACACUUUGGAACAGAUUGCAAGGACCUGAUAGCCAUGAUAAAAGAACCCCAAGCCUGGCCAAACUUUUCAACGGAGCUGGAAACCAUUCAAAUUAUCCUCAUGUGUUAUUCGGAUUUCAAGAUCACCUAUGUGCCAAGAACACAUAAUAAAAUUGCUGAUUCUUUAGCUAGGAAUCCUCGAUCUUUUCAUAGAUCUCUUUGUUUUAUUGGUUGUUAUAUUCCGGUCUGGUUACCCAGACCACCUCAUGUUUGAGUAAUAGAAUAGCCGUUUGUUGACAAAAAAAAAGAAUAUAAAAGUAUUGGUAAUAAAAUCAUACAUGUAAUAAUUCUUAUAAUUUGUAACAAAAUAAUAAAUAUUUAUUUUACAGUAAUAGUAUUAAAAAGUUUAACACAAUAUUAUUUUACAGUAAUAGUAAAUACAUUUUUGUUAGAUGUAAAAAAGUAAAAAUAUCUCAACUUCAAUCUAGGGCUAUGUGCAUUACAAAGUAAUAAGACAUAUUGGAGAAGAAAUAUCCAAACUACAACUUGUAGUCUACAACAACUCACAAAGCCGGUGGUGUCUCGAGAGUCGAGAGAAACAGACAAGAUUAAUGUAAUCAUCAUAGACACAUUCGGUCCCACACACUAAUGAUCAAACUCCAACCAUCUGUUGAUUCCAUCCACAAUCUUUCCUCUUUUAGCUUGCUUUAUCUUCUUCUAUUCUAAGCAAACAUUUGUGAAGAAAAGGAGACAACAAUGGUGACUGAAACCUCGAUUGAAUUCGAUCCUUAUAUGGAUCGCAAAGCUUUCGAUGAGACGAAAGGAGGAGUAAAAGGGUUGGUCGACGCUAAAAUCACCCAAGUCCCUCGUAUCUUCCAUGUCCCUCAAGAUUCCUUGACCGGCAAGAAACCCUCUGUCUCAGACCUAAAAAUCCCUACCAUCGACUUCGCUAGCGUCCACUUGGACACAGCGUCACGUGAAGCCAUUGUAGAGAAGGUCAACUAUGCGGCUGAGAAGUGGGGAUUUUUCCAGGUCAUCAACCAUGGCGUUCCUUUGAACGUUCUUGAAGAGAUUAAAGAUGGAGUUCGUAGGUUUCACGAGGAUGAUCCUGAGGUCAAGAAACGAUAUUUCUCGCGUGAUAGUGCCAACAAAAAGUUUGUAUACUAUAGUAACUUCGAUCUAUACAGUUCUUCGACUUCUGUUAACUAGAGAGAUACUUUCACUUGUUACAUAGCUCCCGAUCCUCCAUCUCCUGAGGAACUCCCAGUGACUUGCAGGUUACGGAAACAGACUUUUAACUUCUUCUUUUUUUUUUUUGUAUUGUAUAGAAGGUUACAAAUAAACUGAAUCUAAUCAUCAAUCAGAGCUGCAAUAGGUAGAUAAAUUUCAGUGUGGUUAAAGUGUCACAUACUUAAUUCCUGUUUAUUUCGGUUUGAUAGGAUCGAUUUUUAUUUAUGUUUGGAUAGCAAAAUAUGUCUCAAGUUUUACAGACUUUCAAAGAGAUUGAAGUUUUAAUUAAUUGGUUAAAGCCAAACCGUUUAGUAUUUCUUAGUAUUGGUUAAGCCAGAUUGAUCAGCCUAGCUAGGUAAACAUCGGUUGUCAAAGCAUGUGGUUAUCAAUUAGUCUCUUUAAAAUUCUAACUGUUUAGCUUGUUAUUGAUUUCAAAUGUCAUUGAUUGACUCAGGGAUGCUAUGUUCGAAUACUCAAAACAUGUGAUGAGUUUAGGUGGUUUACUCUUUGAGCUUCUUUCAGAAGCACUAGGUUUGAAAUCUGAGACCCUUAAGAGCAAGGAGUGCUUGAAGACUUUGCUUAUGAUCUGCCAAUAUUACCCACCUUGUCCUCAACCUGACCUAACUUUGGGGAUAAGUAAACACUCAGACGAUUCCUUCCUCACGAUUCUUCUUCAAGACAACAUCGGUGGUCUACAAAUUAUUCAUCAAGACUCUUGGGUUGAUGUCGCUCCUCUUCCUGGAGCUCUCAUCAUCAACAUUGGAGAUUUCUUGCAGGUAAAGCAAAAAUUUGAAAGAAGAAAAAAAAUCACAGAUACAAAAUAUCUUUAGUUUAUUUAUGUGUUUGGGUUUUUGCAGCUGAUAACGAACGAUAAGUUUGUAAGUGUGGAGCACAGGGUUCUUGCAAAUAGACAAGGACCAAGGAUAUCAGUUGCAAGCUUUUUUAGCUCAAGUAAACAUCACAAUAUAAUUCCACGUUGAUGGACCAAUGAAAGAGCUUCUGUCUGAAGAAAACCCUCCAAAAUACAGAGACAUUACCAUAAAAGAAUACACAGAAGGAUACUUUGAGAAAGGUCUGGAUGGAACAUCACAUCUCUUGAAUUUCAGGAUUUGAAUACAAAAUCACCUAAAAAGAAUUUUAUGGUGUUGAAAGCCAGUUCAAAAAAAAAAAGAAAGAAUUUUAUGGUGUUUCUUAGCAUCAUUUACUCUUUUCUUGGUAUCGAUGUACCAGACACUCUUUUUUUUUUGUAACACCAAUACUUUCAUUAAUUAAAAGGCCUCAGACCCAAAAAUGUCCAAGCAUAAAUGAAAUUAUGAAAUUGAAAGAGAUAGUUUAGCUAAGCGGUCGGCAUCUUCGUUGAAAGAACGCGAGAUGUGUGAGAACGAUAUCUCGACAAACGCAGAAGAGAUUUGUUGAAUAUCGUUGAUGAUACCAAAGAUCUCUUUCGCCUGCGCAUCGUUGUUGAUUGCUCUAAUGAGCGUUGAGUUGUCAGAGAGCAUCCGGAGCUUAGGGAGCUCGAGCUUCACUGCGUCGAUCAGUCCAGCACGGAGCGCCAGCGCUUCCGCUACUAGAGGUGAGGGUACAAAUCCAUGGGUCUUCGAUUCUCGGUAGAUCAUGCUUUCUGAUGGCUUAUUGAUGAUCCAUGCGAGGCCUGCUCUCCUUGAUUGAGCAUCGUAAGCUGCGUCCGAUUUGCAUAUCGGUGUAUCGUCGGUGUUGCUUCUGGUCUGAGGCUUUCUCUUCGAUUGGGGUAAGGCGUUCGUUGAUUGUACGUAUCUGAUGAGAUUGUGCAUUUAUCCAUUCUCUUGCCAGUCUUAACGCCUUGGUUGAUACUUCUGUAGGAGUAAGGGUUCGCUUUUCAAACAAGAGCGUGUUACGAGCUGUCCACAAAGCCCAACACACCCAUGGGAGAAUAGUUGAGGAGACUCCCGAAGGUGAGAGGCAGAUUACUCUCCUAAACGCAAUCACCGCCUUCUUGAAGUCGACCUCCGUAGCUAGGUGAACUACUUGUCGUAAAGGGAUUAGUUUCCAGACUUCCUGAGCAAAAGGGCAGUUGAAAAAGGUAUGCAUUGCAGAUUCUACCCCUUUGCAUCUUACACAUAGCACCUCUGAUUGAAUGCCUCUUCGUUGCAGUAGUUCUCCGAGGGGAAUGGCUUCUAGUAUGAUGGACCACAUGAAGAGCUUCAUCUUUGGUGAGCAUUUUGCGUUCCAUAUAUCUUUUACCCACUCAAAGGCAUCAGGCAUAGGUUCUUGUAUACGUUGCCCUUUCAUAGCCGCUGUAUAGUAACCUGACUUUGUUGUGUACUUGCCUGUUUGUAGUGGUUGCCACACAUAGAUGUCUUCCGUGGAUUGGUUCCCUGGGUGGAUCAUCUGGAUUUCCUCUGCCACAAGAGGUAACAAUUCUUCUACUCUCUUCUUGUUCCAUUUCAUGUCUGAGGUUAGAAGGUCUGAAACCGUAAGAUCCAUAGCCGCUUCAGGGAUAGGUCCAAAUGGUUUGAGGUUCUUAUCCAAUGAUAUCCAUGAGUCUUUCCACACCUUGGUAGCUAAGCCGUUUCCUAUUGCUUUACCCACAUUGUCUCUUAGGAGUUCCCUACCAUGUAGGAUGCUUCGCCAUCCAUGGGAGCAAACCGUAGGGAUGGUAACCUCCAUAAAGUUUUUGUUGUGGCAGUAUUUGCCUAGUAACACUCUCGCUAGUAGAUAGGUUGGGUUGGUUAAGAUCCUCCAUGCUUGUUUAGCCAGUAGAGCUUGAUUAAAUAAUUUGAUAUCCCUCAGUCCCAAAUCCCCACCUGCUUUUGGUUUUGUGAGUCUGUCCCAAGCCACCCAGCACAUUUUUUUGGUUCCAUCAGACGUGUCCCACCAGAAACGAGUCAGAACUGACUGAAUCCUUUUACACAAACUGACAGGUAACUCAAAGCAAGACAUUGUGUAUGUGGGGAUUGCUGUUAGGACCGCUUUCAGCAUGGUUAGUUUACCAGCUUUGGAGAGGUGUCUUGUCGACCAACUCGAGGCUCUCUGUCUUAUACGAUCCACUAGCGCCGUGAAGAGAUCCUUCUUCCUUCUCCCGAAAUGUUCAGGUAACCCAAGAUACUUUCCUUGUCCUCCUUCAUUUGCAAUUCCAAGAGCUUCCUUGACUAAUACUUUUGUUUCUUCUGGUGUCUUGGAGGAGAACGUGAUUGAAGAUUUGUCGGUAUUAAUUUUUUGCCAUAUGGAUCAGACUCUAUAUGUGGAUCAUUCUACUUUAGUCAUAUGGAUCAGACUCUAUAUGUGGAUACUUCUACUUUAGUCAUAUUUAUCAAGACUAUACAGAAGUGAAAUGUAUUGCAAGAAUUGAUCAUAAGAACAUCCAGAGCCGGCUUACAAGGCGAUAAAACUCCCCCGGGUCUAAUAUGAAGUCCUCUAUGUUCUUAUAAUUAAUUAUUAUAAUUACGAGUCUUACUUUUAAAUAUAGAUGUUUUAUAUUAAAAAUACAUUUAAAAAAUUUCAAAUUAUAUAAUUAUAUUUGUAUAUGUAGAUUUUUAUUUUAUAACAUAACUUUUAAAAAAUAUUAGUUGUAAUUUUUGUUUAUAAACAUGUAGUAAAAAUUUCAAACAAAUAUGUAUAUCGAAGGUCUGAUUUUCUUUUGCUCAAAGUUCCAACAAACACAUGUCUUUUUAGUAAUAAACUAGAAUUGAAAUAACAAAUCGCGAGAAGAGAGAAAAGAAGAAAAAGACUUGGAUUAUAUGGAUGUUUGGCUGGGAUGUAAUUUUAAAAAUUUUAAUGUAAAAUUCAAUAUUUAGGAUUUUUGGUGUAUUUAUAUCUGAUGUAAGUUUAAGAACUAAAUGAAAAAGAAAAAAAAAUAAAAAAAUUCUACAUAAAUAUAUUUUUCUUGCAUUUUACUAAAUAAUGUUUUAGAAAAUAUGGUUCAUACAUUCAUUUCUUUAUUUUUCUUUAUGUAGCCUUAGACACUAAAUAAAUCAUAACUGGUAACCUUUAUGGUUGUCAUUAUAAGUAAAAUUAAAGCUAAAGACACUUAAAAAAUCUAGUAUUUGUAAAGAAAAGUAAUGCGACAAAAUGCUGGGUCAGGGCAACCAUGUAAGUCUUAUUGUAAUUGUGGUGAAUUAUAACUUAAAUUCAAGUCUAUCUUCAAAUUUCUCUACGUUAAUCCACUUGUUUGUAGUUGUAAAAAAUCUCUCCCCAGUUCAACUACGACAACAAAAGUCAUUAACAUAGAAGAAAAACGGAGAAGAAAAAAUCAACUAGGACAAGUCACUAAGUUUGUGGGUGUAAGUGAGAUGGAGUGAAGAGUCAAAAGCUACUACCCAACUAAUCAUCCACCGAUCACUUACGGUCAGAGAAUUCAACAAAGUCGGAUAUUUCUUUUUAUAUACUCUCUCCGUUUCAUAAUAGAUGAUGUUUUGAAAAGUUAUUAAUGUUUCAAAAUACAUGAUGUUUGAUAUUUUUUAAUUAAUUUAAAGCUUAUGGAAAACUGUGUUUUUAUAGUAUUUUUGAUGAUUGGUUAGAUUAGAUUUAUUUUAUAUUUUUAGUAUUACUUUUUAGGAAAAUGUGUAUGUCUUAAUUUUUAUGCUUUCAUCCAAAACAUCAACUAUUUUUAAAGAGAAGAAGUAUUAUUGAUAUUGCUUUAUCCUCUUCUAAGCAAACAUCUCGAGCUGUCAAAAAAAAAGAAGCAAACAUCUCGAAAUAGAAAAUAAGAAAAUGGGAACCUCGGUCGAAUUCGAUCCUUAUAUGGGGCGCAAAGCUUUCGACGAGACGAAAGAAGGAGUAAAAGGGCUGGUCGACGCUAAAAUCACUGAAGUCCCUCGUAUCUUCCACGCCCCCAAAGAUGCCCUGACCGACAAGAAACCCUCUGUUCCAGACCUAGCGAUACCUACCAUCGACUUUGCAAGCGUCCACGUGGACACAGCGUCACGUGAAGCCGUGGUAGAGAAGGUUAAACACGCGGCGGAGAAGUGGGGAUUCUUCCAGGUGAUCAAUCAUGGUAUUCCUUUGAACGUUCUUAAAGAGAUUGAAGAUGGUGGUCGUAGGUUUCAUGAGGAAGAUCCUGAGGUCAAGAAACGAUACUUCUCGCGUGAUCUCGCCAACAAAAACUUUUUCUACAAUAGUAACUUCGAUCUAUACGGUUCAUCACCAUCUGUUAACUGGAGAGAUACUUUCGCUUGUUACAUAGCUCCAGAUCCUCCAACUCCCGAGGAACUCCCAGUGACUUGCAGGUAACAGAAACAGACUUAACUUCAUUUUCUUUCUUUUUAUUUUUUUAUUAGAGGCCACAAACCGAAGCCCUAUUCAACAAUCAGAGCUCAUUUCAUUCGGAUAGUGGUUUCUAACAUUAUUGAUUGACCCAGGGAUGCUAUGUUCGAAUACUCAAAACAUGUAAUGAGUUUGGGGGGUUUACUCUUUGAGCUUCUCUCAGAAGCACUAGGUUUGGAACCUGAUAUCCUGAAGAGCAAGGAGUGCUUGAAGAGUUUGCUUAUGCUCUGCCAUUAUUACCCACCUUGUCCACAACCUGACCUAACUUUGGGGACAAGUAAACACUCAGACAACUCCUUCCUCACGAUUCUUCUUCAAGACAACAUAGGUGGUCUACAA
rnacentral:lncRNA from 1 species